ensembl:lncRNA PCBP1-AS1 PCBP1 antisense RNA 1
GCUUUUCUCUGUUAGAGUAUUUACAGAAGGCCUGUGUGUCAGAAGUCAGCCCUGUGGCAGGAGGCAGAAGCUGGGAUGGGUGCCCACAAAGGAAGCCUUAUUUUCCAAGGCAGCCAGAGAAUCAUGGGUCUGAACUUAUCCCGUCUUCUCAGAUGGAGGACUAAGACCCAGAAAGAGGGAGGAAUUUGUCCAAGCUCUCCCAGUGAGCUGAUGCCAGAGCCAGGACUAGAACUCAGGUCUCCCAAUUCUCAGCACAGUGUGAUUUUCCUUGCAGAAUGUUGAUGCUCAAAGAACAGGAACCCCAGAACCCCAGGGAGGUAAGGAAGAAGAGCACAGCCAGGAUCAGAAGAGUGAAGAAACAAUGAUGUCCCACAGGCAAGGAUGCCCACACAGAAUGACUUUGGGGGGACUGCCAGUUAUUUUGUAUGGAAGGCUGAAGGUAGUGGCAGGAGACUUGUUAGGCCUUGCACUGGUGAGGCUGGUGGGGAACAGAUGUUCAAGGGCCUGGAAAACUGUGCUGAACAGUUUGGGUUUUCUUUCAUAGACCAUGGGGGUGAGGUGGGACUUGAAGGCCUUUGAUCGGGGGACACAUGUGUUUAGAUCUGAAUUUUAGGAAGGCCCCUCAGGUGGCCAGGCUAGGUGAGGUGAGCAGAGGACUUGGUAGUGGAAGGCUUCUCUUGCUGUGACUGCCUAUUUGUAUGUCUGACUGGGCGCUGUCUCACUGGCAGGAGGUGGCAGGCCCAGGGAUGCUGGACAGUAUGUGGUUCACCACUUGGGGUAGCCAAGAGUAGCAAGGGGUGAGGUGGGUUCAACUCACAAACCUGAAGCUCUUGGUAAAUACUGCUUACUUUUCAGGUCACAGGGAGUAAGUAGCUGCUCUAGGGGUGAACCCAAGAGUGGUGAUUCACUGUCCAAACUACUGGCUGGAGGAGAGCUCGUGGUGGUCAUGUACGUGUGUGCAUGUGUGUGUGUCUAUAUUUGAGUGGGGCAAGGGAGGGGAUUGGGGACCGGGGGAGACCAGCCUUCUAAACACAUGAUACAAAUACUAUGGCUAUGACACAACAGGUGUUUGUCAACCUGUUCCAGCUCUUCCCAACUAUGGCAGUGGCUAUGGCCUAACAGCUGGAGGCAGGAACAGGGCAGUGACAAGAAUCAGCAACUGCAUAGGGGCCUCAUCAAUUUCCAGUCCUCCAUCCAGAAGAGGACAGGACAUGCUCAAGCUGCCCCAAAGAGAAAGGACAAAGGAGAGGAAUUCUGAGAUGCAAGUCCCUAUGGAAGAGGGGACAGAGUUAAAUUCCAGCAGUCCAACAGACUAUGGCUAGAGCCAUAGUCUUCUCUUACCUGUAUCUUUAACGUUCAGCUUACUAUUGGUUCCUUAUUAUCUCCUGUUAGUGAGGUUCCUUUCAAAAACAAUAAAACAAAACAAUAUUUUCCCGCUCAA